rnacentral:rRNA from 1 species
CUCGUAGGCGGUUCAGUAAGUCAGGUGUGAAAUCUUUGGGCUUAACCCAAAGCGUGCAUUUGAUACUGCUGUGACUUGAGUUCGGUAGGGGAGUGGGGAAUUCCUAGUGUAGCGGUGAAAUGCGCAGAUAUUAGGAGGAACACCGGUGGCGAAGGCGCCACUCUGGGCCGAAACUGACGCUGAGGAGCGAAAGCGUGGGUAGCAAACA